GAGAUGAAGAAGCCAGCAACCUGGAAUUGCCAUCAAAUGCUGACACAAAAGUUCCUACAAAAGCCAAGGAAAAGGGGAAUCUAGCAAACCAGAAAACUUUUACACAACUACCACUCUACUUCAACAAAUAUCACAGCCUGACACCCUCACCAGAGGAAAAGCAGCCUGCAGAACGGCCAUCCAGGCUGGGUGCAUUCCUAGGAUGUGAUUUCCUUCAGUGUGGAGUAAACCCUGCCUUUUACCCACCAACACCAGCAAGGAAGUAUAGAAGACCAGUACCAUUUACUCAAGGAAUGUCCAUCUUUCAUUUGGAAUGCCUUAAGACUUCCAGGAAGAGCAUGCUAUCACUACAUCAAUUGGAGGUGAGAGAGGACAUCAGUUGGAGGGGACUGUUAGUUUAUGGACAAUGAUGUUGAAAGCCUUGAGAAGGUGCAGAAAAGAUAGGUAAGGCCAUCCCCAGAAAACUGCCUGAUAUGGUAUGGAGUCUGCAGAGGGCAGAAGGUGACCGCCCUAGGUCCCUGCCAUGGGGGAGUGGGGGCAUAGGGUAAAGGAUACCUACCGACACCCCCCCCCCCAGUGCCUUGGAGCUAUAGAUGAGAAGGGCCUGUGGUCAGUUGAGAGUCAACAGAUGGGCCCAAACUUGGCUCAGAAUGCAAAAGUAGGCAGUGGACUGUUGGAAUCCAAAUCCCUGCACUCCUCACUUCCAAUGUGACUCACCCCAAACUAACUACUGUUCCUUACAGCUCAAUCUUACCCAAUCCCGCAAAAGAAAUACCAUACUGGCCAACAGGAACUACCUGUUUGGGGCAGGAGGGAAAGGUGUACAGAGCAGGCACUGAAUGCAGCCUUAGGAAAUUUCUAGGAAGACACUUUCAGCAACCGGGACCCACACGUGACCAAGUGCCUUGCUUGGAUGCCCUGGCCAGUCCCAGUCACUGGAGAGGGUAUUUCUUCAAGGAAGAUACUGCAAUGCACUGGGGAUGGGUGGUCCUCAGACACAAGACCUGGACAGGAGGGAAGCUUUCCUGGGUCCAAGAGUGGUACUAAAAUUUGUGGUCAAAUGCAGGGUUUGGAAGAAGCUGGAAGGAAACCUGGAGCCCU